CUGCGGACCCGUGGUGAUUUGUUACCGGAUUGCGGACCACGUUAAACAAUUCGCUAAAAGGUCACGGGAAAGGCCCC
rnacentral:ncRNA from 2 species